AUCCUUUUGUAGUUAAGUGUGAUGAUUAGGUUUUCAUGCUCAUGAAGUGUGCCUCCCUCAAAACUGGUUGCAUUGACACAUUACCCAUCUGACA
ensembl:snoRNA